rnacentral:ncRNA from 1 species
CCUCUUCAGGGAAAGCGAUUAAAAGGGAAUCAGGUGUAAAUCCUGAACAGUCCCGCUGCUGUAAGUUUCGCACAAUGUUGCAGGCAAUCACCCUCUAUGCCACUGGAACACUCUUCCGGGAAGGCGUCUACAACAGAAACAAGUCAGAAGACCUGCCAUGCACAUUU